UCAGGCCUAACACAUGCAAGUCGAACGGUAACAUUUCUAGCUUGCUAGAAGAUGACGAGUGGCGGACGGGUGAGUAAUGCUUGGGAACUUGCCUUUGCGAGGGGGAUAACAGUUGGAAACGACUGCUAAUACCGCAUAAUGUCUACGGACCAAACGGGGCUUCGGCUCCGGCGCAAAGAGAGGCCCAAGUGAGAUUAGCUAGUUGGUAAGGUAACGGCUUACCAAGGCGACGAUCUCUAGCUGUUCUGAGAGGAAGAUCAGCCACACUGGGACUGAGACACGGCCCAGACUCCUACGGGAGGCAGCAGUGGGGAAUAUUGCACAAUGGGGGAAACCCUGAUGCAGCCAUGCCGCGUGUGUGAAGAAGGCCUUCGGGUUGUAAAGCACUUUCAGUUGUGAGGAAAAGUUAGUAGUUAAUACCUGCUAGCCGUGACGUUAACAACAGAAGAAGCACCGGCUAACUCCGUGCCAGCAGCCGCGGUAAUACGGAGGGUGCGAGCGUUAAUCGGAAUUACUGGGCGUAAAGCGCACGCAGGCGGUUUGUUAAGCUAGAUGUGAAAGCCCCGGGCUCAACCUGGGAUGGUCAUUUAGAACUGGCAGACUAGAGUCUUGGAGAGGGGAGUGGAAUUCCAGGUGUAGCGGUGAAAUGCGUAGAUAUCUGGAGGAACAUCAGUGGCGAAGGCGACUCCCUGGCCAAAGA
rnacentral:rRNA from 1 species